rnacentral:rRNA from 1 species
CUACGGGGGGCACCAGUGGGGAAUAUUGGACAAUGGGGGAAACCCUGAUCCAGCAAUGCCGCGUGUGUGAAGAAGGCCUGCGGGUUGUAAAGCACUUUCGGUUGGGAGGACUGCUUCUAGCACUAAUAUUGUUGGAAGUUGACGUUACCUUCAGAAGAAGCACCGGCUAACUCCGUGCCAGCAGCCGCGGUAAUACGGAGGGUGCACGCGUUAAUCGGAAUUACUGGGCGUAAAGCGCGCGUAGGCGGCUAGAUCAGUCGGGUGUGAAAGCCCCGGGCUUAACCUGGGAACUGCAUCCGAUACUGUCUAGCUUGAGUACAGGAGAGGAGAGUGGAAUUCCACAUGUAGCGGUGAAAUGCGUAGAUAUGUGGAGGAACACCAAUGGCGAAGGCAGCUCUCUGGCCUGAUAUUGACGCUGAGGUGCGAAAGCGUGGGGAGCAAACAGGAUUAGAUACCCGAGUAGUC